rnacentral:lncRNA from 10 species
AGCUUUUUUGAGCAGUUUUACGGAGGAAACAAAAUGUGAUAUUUGGAGACUCAGAAAAAGCCUGGCUGUGUUUGCUAUUGACAAAACCUGGACCUGCUGCAAAAGUAAGAGGCAUCGCCAGGAAUCAUAUGCCCAAAUGCCACGGAAAAAGAGCACUCCACCUGGACAAAAACAUUGCUGUGUAAACUGCCCCAAACAGACCUGCUCUGGGGAAGAAUUGCUUGAUCAGUCUGCAACUCCCUUUUGCCAUCUCAGAUUUCAUGGGCCACAAUAUUAAAAAGAGAAAAGCAAAACACAAACUGACAAACUGACAGUAACGGACUGAUCAGCGCUAUCUCACGUUCCUUGGCAACAAACCAGUCCUGAACUGACAACUCAACAAUGGAUUUAAAAGAACUGACAGUUUUUCUUUGUAAAACCUUGAAUUUUGCUUUUAUCAAAGUACCACUCCUUUGUUUGGGAAGAUACUAUUCAAAGGAUGUCAUACACAUAUAAACACACACACACAUGUGUGCAUGGCAAAAUACUCAGUUUUAUGAGCUCUAAAAUAAUUAACAGUUUUUCUGGGUCUGUAGCCUGGGGCUCCACUGAAAGCUAUUCAGAAGAAUGUAACUGUUCAACUCCUGGAGUUCCCUUUAGCCCUAGGGUCUCUUGGUUCCUUGUAUGAAUCUGACAGAGCCAUGGAGUUCUAUUUUAAUGGCUCUAAUUGUGACUUUCCCUAUUUUCAGUGUAUAGAUUCAAUUGUGUAUUAGGAGUGGAUAUAUCAUGCUUAUGAUUUCCUAAAUCACAGUUAUUCAUCCCAAAUGGUGACAGCUGUAUUAGAACAUGGCUUUUGGUUUCACGACUUUAACCUCUGUGAAAGGAAAACAUCUUGGACCCCCCAAAUCACUAAGCUAAAGGGAAAAUUCAAGCUGGGAACUGCUUAGGGCCAACCCACCCCCCAUUCUAUUCAAAGUCACCCCUGUGCUCACUGAGAUAAAUGCAUAUCUGAUUGCCUCCUUUGGAGAGGCUCAUCAGAAACUCAAAAGAAUACAACCAUUUGUCUCUUAUCUACCUAUGACCUGGAAGCCCCCUUCCAUCUUUGAGUUGUCCCGCCUUUACAGACCGAACCAGUGUUCAUCUUACACAUGUUGAUUAAUGUUUCAUGUCUCCCCAAAAUGUAUAAAACCAAACUGUGCGUGACCGCCUUGGGCACAUGUUGUCAGGACCUCCUGAGGCUAUGUCAUGGGCACACGUCCUCAACCUUGGCAAAAUAAACUCAGAUUUUUGGAGUUCUUACCUCUAUCAGAUGGAAGGGAAUUUGUCCCCACAGUGGGGAGAUUAGAGAGUAUCUAUGCCCUAUCUGCAGUCAGGGUCAGGUUAGAGUGUUCAGAAAUCCCUAGAGAUAAUCUAUCAAAUGACCAUAAAAAAUAUGCUUGGUUAUUACAAUGGAGAAUAUCCCUUUAUGUUUCAUUUCUGUUGUAACUGUGAGUUUUGUGUUCUGUGUUUUGACCCACA